rnacentral:rRNA from 1 species
AGCCCUCCCCAGUCUCUCAUUUAAUCUCCCAAGCUAAGCAGGAUCAGGCUUGGCCAGUGUUUGGAUGGGAGACCAGGAAGGAUCGGGAGAAAGGGCUU